UACGUAGGGUGCGAGCGUUGUCCGGAAUUACUGGGCGUAAAGAGCUCGUAGGUGGUUUGUCGCGUUGUUCGUGAAAACCGGGGGCUUAACCCUCGGCGUGCGGGCGAUACGGGCAGACUGGAGUACUGCAGGGGAGACUGGAAUUCCUGGUGUAGCGGUGGAAUGCGUAGAGACCGGAGGAACACCAGUGCGGAAGGCGGCUCCUGGUCUG
rnacentral:rRNA from 1 species